ensembl:misc_RNA
AUGCCAAUCCCAGACAUUGGAGUCCUCUAUUUAUCCUCAGCACAGUUAAAAAUACAGGUACUGGCUAUGCAAGCAUCCUCCAUGCUGCCCUACUGAUGUCUGAACCCUGACCUGGAGGAACCUCUUUUGUGGCUGAGAGAUUAGUUCAGACUCAAUGGCCAAUUUAAUCAUAAACCUCU